GCCGAUGUAGUUCAACGGUCAGAACAGAGGACUCAUAAGCCUCGGACGAAGGUUCGACUCCUUCCAUCGGCA
rnacentral:tRNA from 1 species